rnacentral:rRNA from 1 species
CCUACGGGUGGCAGCAGUGAGGAAUAUUGGUCAAUGGGCGGGAGCCUGAACCAGCCAAGUCGCGUGAGGGAAGACGGUCCUACGGAUUGUAAACCUCUUUUGCCGGGGAGCAACGGGGUCCUUGCGAGGGCCCGAUGAGAGUACCCGGAGAAAAAGCAUCGGCUAACUCCGUGCCAGCAGCCGCGGUAAUACGGAGGAUGCGAGCGUUAUCCGGAUUUAUUGGGUUUAAAGGGUGCGUAGGCGGGCUGUUAAGUCAGCGGUAAAAUGUCGGGGCUCAACCCCGUCCUGCCGUGGAAACUGGCAGCCUUGAGUGGGCGAGAAGUAUGCGGAAUGCGUGGUGUAGCGGUGAAAUGCAUAGAUAUCACGCAGAACUCCGAUUGCGAAGGCAGCAUACCGGCGCCCGACUGACGCUGAGGCACGAAAGCGUGGGUAUCGAACAGGAUUAGAUACCCCUGUAGUC